rnacentral:rRNA from 1 species
UGCCUCAGUAACGGCGAGUGAAGCGGCAACAGCUCAAAUUUGAAAUCUGGCUCCUUCGGGGCCCGAGUUGUAAUUUGCAGAGGAUGCCUCGGGUGCGGGUUCCUUCCGAGUUCCCUGGAACGGGACGCCAUAGAGGGUGAGAGCCCCGUCAGGUCGGAACCCUAGCCCGUGUGAGGCUCCCUCGACGAGUCGAGUAGUUUGGGAAUGCUGCUCUAAGGGGAGGUAUACUCCUUCCAAAGCUAAAUACCGGCUGGAGACCGAUAGCGCACAAGUAGAGUGAUCGAAAGAUGAAAAGCACUUUGAAAAGAGAGUCAAACAGCACGUGAAAUUGUUGAAAGGGAAGCGCUCGCUACCAGACUUGGGUCCGCGGCUCACCCGGUGCUCUGCACCGGUGCACUCCGCGGGCCCAGGCCAGCAUCAGCUCUCCGUCAGGUUCAAAGGCUGCGGGAAUGUGGCUCCCCCUCGGGGGAGUGUUAUAGCCCGUAGUGUCAUGCCUCUCGGGGGGCUGAGGUUCGCGCAUCUGCAAGGAUGCUGGCGUAAUGGUAGCUAGUGACCCGUCUUGAAACACGGACCAAGGAGUCAACCUUAUGUGCGAGUGCCCGGGCGUAAAACCCCAGCGCGGAAUGAAAGUGAACGUAGGUAGGAGCUUCGGCGCACUACCGACCGAUCCUGAUGUCCUCGGACGGAUUUGAGUAAGAGCAUAUAGGGUUGGACCCGAAAGAAGAUGAACUAUGCGUGUGUAG